GACGCCGCGUGGGGGAUGAAUGGCUUCGGCCCGUAAACCCCCUGUCAUUUUGCGAACAAUUCGGUUCAACUAAUACCUGAACCGUUGCUAGUAGCGAAAGAGGAAGGGACGGCUAACUCUGUGCCAGCAGCCGCGGUAAUACAGAGGUCCCAAGCGUUGUUCGGAUUCACUGGGCGUAAAGGGUGCGUAGGUGGCGAGGUAAGUCGGAUGUGAAAUCUCCGAGCUCAACUCGGAAAUGGCAUUGGAAACUACCUUGCUCGAGGGUUGGAGGGGGGACUGGAAUGCUUGGUGUAGCAGUGAAAUGCGUAGAUAUCAAGCGGAACACCAGUGGCGAAGGCGAGUCCCUGGACAACUCCUGACACUGAGGCACGAAAGCUAGGGGAGCAAACAGGAUUAGAUACCCUGGUAGUCCUAGCCGUAAACGGUGCACGUUUGCUGUAAAAGGAAUCGACCCCUUUUGUGGCGUAGCCAACGCGUUAAACGUGCCGCCUGGGAAGUACGGUCGCAAGAUUAAAACUCAAAGAAAUUGACGGGGGCCCGCACAAGCGGUGGAUGAUGUGGAUUAAUUCGAUGCAACGCGAACAACCUUACCUACCCUUGACAUGUGCCGAAGCCUGCUGAGAGGCGGGUGUGCCCGAAAGGGAACGGCAACACAGGUGCUGCAUGGCUGUC
rnacentral:rRNA from 1 species